rnacentral:rRNA from 1 species
AACGAACGCUGGCGGCAUGCCUAACACAUGCAAGUCGAACGAGACCUUCGGGUCUAGUCGCGCACGGGUGCGUAACGCGGUGGAACCUGCCCUUAAGUUCGGAAUAACUCCCCGAAAGGGGUGCUAAUACCGGAGAAUGUCUUCCGACCAAAGAUUUAUCGCCUUUGGAUGGGCCCGCGUUGGAUUAGCUAGUUGGUAGGGUAAAAGCCUAUCAAGGGUACGAUCCAUAGCUGGUCAGAGAGGAUGAUCAGCCACACUGGGACUGAGACACGGCCCAGACUCCUACGGGAGGCAGCAGUGGGGAAUAUUGGACAACGGGCGAAAGCCUGAUGCAGCAAGGACGCGUGAGUGAUGAAGGCCGGAGGGUUGUAAAGCUCUUUUACCCGUGAUGAUAAUGACAGUACCGGGAGAAUAAGCUCCGGCUAACUCCGUG